rnacentral:tRNA from 1 species
GGAAGCAGAACUCGAGUGGUGGAGUGUCUCACUUUUAAUGGGAAAGUUCUGGUUCGAAUCCAGGUGUUUCCA